CCCCCCCCCCCCCCCAAAAAAAAAAAAAAAAAACAGGGUCUUUCCCCUCGCACUGCAAAUCCCGCUCCAAUGCUCGCUCAGCGCUGCAGACGGUGACUCAGCCCGGACAAGAGCACGGGUGAACUCCGUAAGGGUCACUGCAUCGGGUGGACACCCCGCUUAAAAAUAAUACCAAGUGCCUCCUGUCAUCCCGCUGUCAGCUGAAACCGCACACCCGCUUCUGCUUUCGCCACCAGCCCCGCGCCGCUCAGCGCGGCAGCAGCGGGGGGCCCUGGGGCUCCGGCGGUCAGCCCACCAGCUCUUCUAGGGACGAAACGUCAACCCCGUCUGCUUCCGCCCCUUCACGUGUACAUACAGAAAGCCCACGUAUACAGGAACGCAUGCAUGUGCAUCAGUUUAAAAAAAAAAAAGUACAGUCAUAAAAGCAACAGAAAGGCCUAAAUGAGCUGGGAAGGCACAGUCUUGUUCCUAAUCGCCAAAUAAUUGCCUGUCUUCAUAGAAAAGUUUUUGGCCGUUUCCAUUCGUACUGCAAAACUUCACCGGAGGGCUGGUAUCGCUACACCCUUCAGCGAAAAGCUUUCGGUGGCAGUACUACUGCUCUUAACAGUUUGCGCAAUGUUCACUGUACAGAGAGGCUGCCUGUCUUCAUCUCCACACUCUUCUUCUCUUGCUUUUAUUUUGUAGCUCGGAAGCUCAAUAGCAAAAAUCGCAUUUUAGGUUUUAAUUAAACAUCAUGUGGCUGGGGAGCAGAGGGAGGAGGGGACGACAAGCUUUCCUUGGCUACACAAUCUGCUAACAGCCCGGCAGAAAACUGGUUUUACCAGCUUUUCACCCUCAGCACAAUCACCUCAAUUACGGCCUAUAAAGAUCGUUGCUUUCAUACUUCAAAUGGAUGUUGAAUAACCUUAAGAUGACCUUCCCACGGCUCUACUGGGGAAAACUUCUGGAACUGCACAAAACUCUCUAUUUAUAAACGCUGAAUGAUUUCUUUCAGUUGCCAGUACCUGGCUGCAGCAAAGGUCUCCCUGACCUGGUUUUAAGCCAGCUGCCUUGUUUGAACUGAAACCCCUCUUCAAGUCUGUUUUUCCCCAGCAGACAACAGCUGCUCCUCUGAAGUAGCUAUCCCAACUUAGGUAUGUGGGAGUUGUGGUCAACAGAGUUAGUACUUUAAGUACAAAAAGUCAGUCUCGGAAAUUUCCAUUUAUAUCCAAAAAUGACAUGCAUUUUAUACAGUACAGCAUCGACGUGACCAGCAAGCAUCUACGUGAAUCUUCCACAGGGGUUUGUUUUACUUCACACAGCAGCUGUGUACUAUCGUAUUUUUAAGUCAGAAACCACAUGCAGAAAAAUGAACUCCAACAGCUGUAAGUAAGACAGAAUUUGAGAUAAUAUCUUAGGGAAUAAAAACAAGUUUCACAUAA